UGCCUUUAACACGGUUUAUAAAUGUUCACAAAAGAGCUUGCAUUGAAAUCAACUAUUUAUCCUUGCGAACUAUGCGUGAGGUGAACAAAGCUCAGUUAAUGGCACAGUUCUAUCUGUAAACAUUACUACGUUCCAAAGGUACUACUAAAAAUACAGCAGUUCACAAGUGAGGAAAAGUGAAAUAUGAAGAAUUUGUUGUGUUAUGAGAAUUUAAACCUUUUUGAGGAAAUCAAUGGAGUGAUAUAAGUCGUUGGAAGCAACCAGGUCAAAAGAUGAUAUUAGUAGUUGCUCCAUUGGACGUGAUGAAUAGUAUGUUUAUUCUCACUUAAACAUAAUCUAGCACAAUAUAAUUUAAAAAUUUGUGGCUAAUAAUUGAAAACAUGUUUUAUGUCUUUGUUGCAUUGUUCCUACAAAAUAUGCUUCCUAACUUUGAGUUUCUUUCAUUUAUUAUGUAAGGCUAUAGAAGAUGCUCUAUUAUUAAUUUAAAUCUUGUUUAUUUG